GUUGGCUCACACCUGUAGUCCCAGCUACUCAGGAGGCUGAGACAGGGAUAGCUGGGACUACAGGUGCAACCUCACCACCUUGAGAACUCAAGGAUCACUUAAGUCCAGGAAUUCUGGGCUGUAAUGUGCUAUGCUGAUCUGGUGUCUGCACUAAGUUAGGCAUCAAUGUGGUGCCCUCCGAGGAGCAGUGGGCCACCAGGUUGCUUAAGGAGGGGUAAAGCGGCCCAAGUCAAAAACAGAGCAGGUCAAAAAUCCCUGUAGUGAUCAGUACUGGAUAGUGGGAUAGCACCUGUGAAUAGCCACUGUACUCUAGCCUGAGUGCAUAACAUAAGGAGAACCUGUU
rfam:Otolemur garnettii contig021685, whole genome shotgun sequence.